rnacentral:rRNA from 1 species
GACGAACGCUGGCGGCGUGCUUAACACAUGCAGGUCGAGCGGUAAGGCCCUUUCGGGGGUACACGAGCGGCGAACGGGUGAGUAACACGUGGGUGACCUGCCCUCAGCUCUGGGAUAAGCCUGGGAAACCGGGUCUAAUACUGGAUAUGACUCCAUGACGCAUGUUGUGGGGUGGAAAGCCUUGUGCGGCUGAGGAUGGGCCCGCGGCCUAUCAGCUUGUUGGUGGGGUGANGGCCUACCAAGGCGACGACGGGUAGCCGGCCUGAGAGGGCGACCGGCCACACUGGGACUGAGACACGGCCCAGACUCCUACGGGAGGCAGCAGUGGGGAAUCUUGCGCAAUGGGCGAAAGCCUGACGCAGCGACGCCGCGUGAGGGAUGACGGCCUCGG